GUACAGGGUAGCCUAGUGGACAUGGCACCUGCCCGGUUAGCAGAAGGUUGUGGGUUCGAUUCCCGCCCCUGGACA
rnacentral:tRNA from 1 species